rnacentral:rRNA from 1 species
GUGGGGAAUAUUGCACAAUGGGGGAAACCCUGAUGCAGCGACGCCGCGUGAGUGAAGAAGUAAUUCGUUACGUAAAGCUCUAUCAGCAGGGAAGAGAAUGACGGUACCUGAGUAAGAAGCCCCGGCUAACUACGUGCCAGCAGCCGCGGUAAUACGUAGGGGGCAAGCGUUAUCCGGAUUUACUGGGUGUAAAGGGAGCGUAGACGGCAGAGAAAGUCUGAAGUGAAAGCCCGCGGCUCAACCGCGGAACUGCUUUGGAAACUUUUCGGCUAGAGUACCGGAGAGGUAAGCGGAAUUCCUAGUGUAGCGGUGAAAUGCGUAGAUAUUAGGAGGAACACCAGUGGCGAAGGCGGCUUGCUGGACGGUAACUGACGUUGAGGCUCGAAAGCGUGGGGAGCAAACAGG